CUAGAGAUGUCGGAGAAACUAACGGCUGAAUAUUCAGCUAGAGGACUCAGGCGGGUGAAGCAGCGGCGGAUCAGGAGGAUAAGAUGGUUGUGCCUCCAAGGAAGGAGCAUGGAGUACAGAAGAAAUAAGACCCGGAGCAUGAACCUGGGUCGAACUUUGGAGAAGAAAAGGUAAAGCUUUAAACAAGAAUGGGGAAUUUUACAUACAAGGACGUCGAAACAAUAUCAGGAAUUACUCAGCCAUGGAAACUGAUGAUGAAUAAAUCUCUUUAUCACAAAUCGUGCUGCUGUUCAUCUGGAGAUGGCAAAGGUGGAGAUUAAGAAUUUGAAUGUGCUUUAACCGAUUACCAACAGGGCCAAGCCAACCAGAUAAUGGGAGAAGUAACUCAGGGAGCUAAUGGCUUGCCUGGUGCUGGAGCUGAUAAGACAAGCCUCUCUCCUGUUGUGAAGAGAGUUGUGCAACAAACACAAAAGGCUGUACUGUUGAUGGUGUGGUCGAGAAAGGGAACAGCUAGGACAGAUCCACCAACUGACCCCCUGUUGAUGCCAGAAACACUGGAAGAAGAACCAGCUCUGGAGGAUUGUCACUCCGCUAAGAAGACCUGCAUAAGACUGAAGUCUGACCUAAGGAGUAAAUGAAUUUGCGUUAAAACUUCUCAUUCUCAACCUUUUUUAUUUGAGUUUUUCUUCUUCUAAGUUUUAGUUUAUUUCUUUAAUCAACAAAAGUUUUAGUUAAUUUCAUGGGAAGUCUACUUUAUCAGGUUAUUAAUUAAAUAAAUAAAAAACAAUUUCACUUUCAAAUUUGUGUACCUUUGAGAACUGAUUUAAGAGGUUAACCUUAAGCUCCAUUAUACCAAUGGUAAAAACUAUCUUAUAAUCAGGAAAAAUAAACCUUUAUAUAUAUGAAUGCCACCAUUGAAACAUCGCCUCAUCUCUAAAAACAGUUUCAAGGAGAUACAUCCCAAAAACUUGCGGCCAAAAAAGUGACAGCCACAAAGGUAGUUAUUGUGAGAAGCAGUUGACUCUGAAUUGAUUGAUUAUGUACAUUCUUUAAGAACACAACAAAGUCAGGGACUCAGAGUUUCUACAUGAAACAAGAAUAAUAUAACCCCAAAACUGGAUUUAAGUUUGCUUUAUCGUCUUAGUAUUGCAGAUCAUUGUCAAUACAUUCUUUCAGCUACAACCAAAACAUAAUAAUAAAAAAUGUUAAGCCUCCAAAUAAAAACAUAAAAGAUUUUAAAAUUUAGGCAAUGAUAUAUUGAUGAGCGGACCAUUAUCCUUUACAACAAGGUUAUCUUUACAAUACAACUAUUUAUCACUAAUCCUCAAGUAAACAAUCUCACUACUAGGCCUGGGAUUUCGGGUAUUCGGAUCGGUUUCGGGUAAGAUCCGUUCGGGUCCGGAUAUUCGGUUAUUUACAAAGUGUAUCCAAUGAGUACUUGGAACAGUUCGGUUCGGUUUCGGAUCGGUUUUCGGUCGGUUCCGGGUCGGUUCCGGGUAUUAAAUUAUUAAACCGAAACUAAUAUUUUUAUGUAUUUUAUAUUUUCUAUUUUUUUUUUAUUUUUUUUUAAAUAGUUUAAUUCAAAUCGGAUAUAUAUGUAUAGUUUGAAAGUAACUACAACGAAAUAGAAGUGGUGCAGUGGUAAAAGUUGAUGUACUUUCAACUUUCCCACCCGGGUUCGAAACCCAUGAGGCGCAAAUCCAUAUUUUUUAAACAUUAUUUCGGUUUAAACGGGUACCCGAUCGGAUCCGGAUAAAAACCCGAACCGACCCGAUACCCGUGGAUAUUCAUAAACAUUACCCAUCGGUUAAAUAUGCCUUAUCCGAAACCGAUCCGAACCGGUCCAUUUCGGGUCGGAUCCGGUUCGGUAUUCGGUUCCGGUUAAAAAGUCCCAGGCCUACUCAUUACCUACCACACCGAUUUAAAUAAACAAGAUUAAAGAGUUUCCGAAUUAGAAAAUGAUUUUACUAAAUACAUAUUCAACAAAUUAUAAUAAAUUUGAUUUAUUAAUGUAGACCAAAUAUUUUACAUAAGUGAUUUUUAAAUAUUACAGAAGUCAUUUUUAACUAAAAUAAUAAACUUACCCUUUUAUAAAUUGAAAAUCUAAUAUAAACUGAAACAAACAUAUAUUAUAAAACAUCAUUUGUUGCUACGUAAUAUGUACUAAUUAUUAUUUAUGACAUUUUUGAAACUAUUUUUAUAUUAUUUUAAAAAAUUAAAUUUUAUAAUUUUCACACUAUAUUUGAUUUUCAGUGAUUUGGCUUGGAGUUGGUGUAUUAAUUUAUUAUUGUGAAAAAAUUAGUUAUUGUAAUAAUAUGAAAUUAUUACUUUAUAUUUUUUCAACUAUAUGAAAUUAGUUAUUGAAAAAUAUGAUACUCUUGGAAAAAAUGUAGCUAUUCUUACUUUAUAUUUUUUCAACUAUAUGAAAUUGAAAUAGAAAUCAAAUAAAAAAUAUAAAUCAUUUUAUUUUUCUUAAUUUUUUAUUUAAUAAUUUUGCGUUCUCUAACAAAAAUAUUGUUAGUGGUUUUUUCAACUCAAACCAACAAAAUAAAAUUUACAAUAUGCGAGGGCUAAUAAACAAGAAGCCGAGAACUUCUAAAGACAAUAUGUGAGGGCUAAUAAACAAGGCAAUGAAGAACAUGAUUAUGAUUAGUUCACUCAAGUACAUGCCAAAUCAUAAGUUGGAAGAGUUAUUAAGAAGAUGGUUUGAAGUAACAACUUAUGAGAUUUACAUCUAUAGAACAGUUUUUCAGUUCUUAAAAAUGUCUGAUUUUCACAUAACAUUCUUUUGAUAGUUAAAAAAAUGAUCUUAGGAUAAAAUAGAUUAUAUUUAUUAUUUUUAAUAUAAAAUAAAGUUUCAAUGUUUUAUAAAAUUAAAAUAUAUUUAAAUAUAAAUAGUUUUAAUGUAAACUCAUCCGCCCGUAGGGCGGACCAAUCCCUAGUAUACAUAAAAGUAACAUAUUUUCUUUCUUCCUUUCAAAUGGCUGCAACAAAAAUGUAAUGUUUCUCACUCUAAAACUCUCCAACCUCUCUCUAAUCUCUUUGAACAUCAAAACACCAAAUUUUAAAUCCAUUUCUAAUUUUUUUCUUAUGUCUUCUCACUAAUUUAUCUUCUUUUUGCAGAUUUUUCAUUACAUGGUUCUCAUAUUUUACCCAUUCAAAGGUAGAUCUAUAAAUUUUGGAUAUAUAUUAUUGUGUGUUUUAUAUAUUAGAUUCUAAAAUGCUAUAGAUUAAAAUGUGACUGUUUCGUUUAUUAUUUAAGCAUAAAAUUAUAUUUUUGAAGUUUUUCUGUGUGUUUGAAGCCAUUUGAAUGUUUUUGAAUUUUUAGAUUUUUCAGAUCUAAGACAGACUUUGAAAGACUUCUCAGAUGACUCUCGGAAGACUUCUCAGAAUACUUUAAGCAAGUCUUCUAAUGCAUUUUAUGUUAGAAGAUUUCCCACGAAAUCUGUAGGAAGUCUUCUGCCCAAAAUGGUACAAAUUUUGGAUAAGUAUUUUGUGUGAAUUUACAUAUUAGAUUCUAAAAAGUUAUAGAUUCAACCAAAUUUGAUUGUUUUGUUUAUUAUUUAAGCAUAAAAAAAAUAUUUUUGAAGCUUUCUCUGUUUUGAAUCCAUUUAAAUGUUUUUGAAUAUUCAUAUUUUCAGAUAUGAGUUAGAUUUUGGAAAACUUCUCAUAAGACUCUUGGAAGACUCUCAGAAGACUUCUUGGGAAGUCUUCUGAUGUAUUUGGAAGUCGUCGGAAAGUCUUCCAAAGUUUUCUGCCCAAGGUGGUACAAAGGAAUGAUGUCAACUGGAGUCCAAACUUAUCUAUGUGGAGGAAUUAUAUCUACCUCCAUGUGUAACAGUUUUAUUUAUGGUCGGUUUUAUGAUUUGUAUGUGAAUUAUUUUAGUGUAAACUUGAAAAGAUGUUAAUCAUAAGAAUUUAGUAUAUAUUUUCAUGUUUUUCCCAAAGUACUUGACAUUAUUGAAGUUAUUGUUACAACAUACCAAGAAAUUUUAUAAACCAUUCCACCCACUCAUAACAAAACAUAAUAACACAAAACUUAGUAAAAUUUACUAAAACUAAGAGAGAAGACUUCACAAGAAAACUUAGCCAAAUUCACAAAAGAUCAAACUUAAAUUUUAAGUGAAAGUUAAAAUUUUAAAUCUCAUGUAAGUUAAAAAUUAUAACUUAUAAUCUAAAGAGACACAUUAAACCACAUGAUUUGAUAUUUCUUGAAGUUACUUAACACUUUUAAAAGUUAAAAACAUAUCUUGAAGUUACUUAACACUCUUGAAAUUUUACAUAGAAGACUUCUCCAGAAUUCAUCUAUAGAAGAAGUCUUCUCGGAUUAGCUAGAGACAUUAGUAAACAUAAAUAUCUGAAAUCUCGUAAUUAUCACAAAUUAGUUAUGAAUUUUAUCCAGGAGCCCUAAUAUUGACUAAUACACAUGAAUUAAUAAGAACAUAUUAAAAAGUCACUUUAAUUGUUGAGAAAACAAAAGUUUAUUAAACAUUGACGUAGAAGACUUCUACAAAAGUCUUCUAUUUAUGUCAUUUUUGCAAUUGCAAAUUUACGAAGGAAGACUUUUUAAGAAGUUUACUCUACAGAAGACAUCUUGAGAAGUCUUCCCUUGUAAAUAUUGGCUUAAUUUUAAAUUUAAAAAAAUCUCAAAAAUGACAUAGAAGAAGUCUUCUCGGAUAAACAUGUUAGUUUAUCCGAUUGACUGAAGUUUGUCAGACAUUUGGCUUUUUAUAGAAGACUUCUCGGGAAGUCUUCUAUAAAAAGUCAAGUUUUUGACAAAAUUCAGUCAAUGCCAGAGAAAACUAACAUGUUUAUCCGAGAAGACUUCUCGAGAAGUCUUCUCGAAUAAACAUGUUAGAUUGCCAUUGACUGAAGUUUGUCAGAAACUUGACUUCUUAUAGAAGACUUCUUGGGAAGUCUUCUCGGUAGAAGUCUUCUAAAAAUCUUCUCAAUGUCGCAAGAAGUCUAUCUGGAAUACUUUUGCAAUUGACUAUAUCUGAUUUUUUUUCCAUAGAAGACUGCUCUAGAAGUCUUCUCACGUAACCAAAGGUUUGACCAAAACCCAGAAUAAAAUUUGAGAAGACUUCUCAUUAAUAUUAAAUGUUUCACUAUUAUUUUUCAAUUGCAAAAGUAACCUGCGCAGACUUCUUGCGUUAGUGAGAAGACUUCGGGAAAACUUUCAGAAGACUUCUAUAGAAGUUUUUUCCGAGAAGACUUCCCGAGAAGUCUUCUAUAAAAAGUCAAAUUUUUGACAAACUUUGGUCAAUUGUAAAACUAUAACAUAUUUAUCCUAGAAGACUUCUCGAGAAGUCUUCUCUCGGAUUUUCGGUUUUUUUUUCUUAAUAAAGGAAAGUUAGAAGACUUCUAGGGAAGUCUUCUUGAUGGAGAACACAUCUGGCGAAGUCUUCUGAAAGUUUUCCCGAAGUCUUCUGAAAGUCUUCCCGAAGUCUUCUGAAAGUCUUCGCGAACAGAUCUGAGAAAAAAAAAUUAUUUCAUAUCUUGAGCCUGUUAGAUUACUUGCUUUGCUUCUUCGAGUACCCAUAACUUCACUACAAAAUCUAACAAGUCGUUAAUGACCACAAAUCAUGAGCUUCAAUGUCUCUAUGAACCUUACAAAGCUUGGAAUCAAAAUCUUAGUUUUUUUGGAUGAAUUUGAAAAGCGAGUGAAAGAGAUGUGAUUUGUGUGCAUAAGUAAUGAGAUAUGAAGAGUAAAAAUUGAAAUUUGGUGCAUUAAGAGCUUCAAAUUGGUUGUUCAUGGUGGUUAGUAUAUUGAUGGCAAUGGCAAUAUUGUAAAUACUUGGUGAAGAUGAAAAUGAUAAGGUAAAAGAAUCAUUUGCAAAAAAAAAGAAAGAAAAAAAAAUAAUGGCAUUUUCGUGAAUAACUCAAACUUCUAGGGCGAAUAGAGAAAAAAAUAUGGGUUGUUUUUGUGUUUGACCUGAAAUUUUAGGUCAUAUUUGAAAAAUAACCCUAUUAUAAUUCAGAAAUUUAGUAAUUAUCCGUCGAUAGGAUUCGAUGGCCACAUAAUUUUUUUUUCAUAGUGAUGUUUUGAAUAGUUAUAACCAAAUCAUAGAUUUGUCAAUUGCGGAUGAGAAAAAACAACAAAGAGCAGAAAUUAAACAACAAACAAAUUUUGUUGAUGAAUUUCAUUUUUUUAAUUUUCAAAACUUCGUUCUGAUUUUGAAUCUUCAAGAACAAGUAGCAAAUUACGACUAAUUCGCAAAUGCAUAAGAUACACAAUUUUCUUGAAUUAUUGUUCUGUUCUAGUAUGAACUAUUUAGAACAAAUUAAUUUUAAUUACACUUAAAAUCAGAAUAAUCUAACUAUGAGCUAAACUUUCUCCGAGUCUAGAAUUCAAUCUUUCAAAUCUUUGAACUACGUCAACGCUUAACACAUACCAAAGAACACAUCCAAUGGCAGAAGUAUCUUGUUGUGAGGGGGUCAUAUGACCCACAAAAUUUUAUAAAAAUAAAAUGUUACAUGUAUUUAGAAGAUAAUAACUUGCAAAAUCAACUUGAUGAACCAUUUGUUAUAGAAAGAUAACGAUUAGACACACAAUUUAAAAUUUCAAUUACACUUCGACACAUUUCUAGUGUGAGAUACACUUUCUAAUAGGAAAAUAUAUCUAUUCACUUUUCUAUAUCUUGUACAAAUUAAAAUAAGUUUUUUUUAAAAUUUUUUUUUUAAUACUUCAAUUUGAUUUUAUUAUUUUAAAAAUUUUAAUAUUUAUUUUUAAACUAUAAUUUUAGAUAUAAAUAUAAUUUUGUGAUAUUAUUAGAUAAAAUAAAUAAAUUAUAUAAAAUUAUUUUAAAAUUUUUAUAUAUUCUAAAUGCAAAUGCUCUACAAAAAACUUUAUAUGAAAGCAUUGGAUAGAUAUCAUUUGCAUGAUCUAAAUGCUAUUCUAAAUAGUUUUUGAAAAACUGCUGAUUGGAUAAUUAAAAACAUAAUGCAUAAGUUAAUACUCCACCAAUUAAACCCUAAGAGUUAUCACGUCAAGAGAUUUCUUGUUCUGCCAUAGUUGAUUUAAUGUCAGUGACUGUCCAAUGCUCACUAAUAAGUAUUCGCUAUAGUCACGGCCAAAUAAAAAUUAUGGUUAUGUGGAAAAUAGUCACAACUUACAAUUAAAAAAAUAAAAAUAUAUGUAGCUUGUUGUAUAAUAAAAGGUGGGAGAUGAUUUUAUAUUUGGUAUUAUAUAUUAUCUUUUAUAGAAAUAAAAGAGAGAUGAGAUGGGAUGUAAGAGUGAGAGAGAAAUAAGUAGGAGAGGUUCAUGUGUGUGUAAUACGAGAGAGAUGUUGUACCAAACUGAUUACUUUAUUUCUCAGCACAUACACAUCCUUUUAUAGUACAAAAUAUAAUGCUUAGUCAUCUCUUCUCUAAAGACAUAAAGACACAUGCUUAUGACAAGAUGGUGUUGAAGUGAGACAUGUGUCUUUUGGAUAAUCAUCUAUAUUAUAACACUCCCCCUUGAUUAUCCAUUUUGUAUUACGUAGUGCCUCGUUAAAACCCUAGUCAUGGAAAAACCCAUUAGGACAAAAACCAUGACAAGGGAAAAAGAGUACACUGUCCGUAAUCUCCUCCUGAAAAUAGUGGACCUAGCUUUCUUAUCAUAGGUCACGUAAAUGCUCUUUGUUUUUCUCGAGCUCCCUUAUGUACGAGAAAAAUCUUGUAGGAAUGUGCUUUGUUCUAUCGCUUUUGAUGUAGCCUUCUUUGAGUUGAGCAACACAAGCCGAGUUGUCUUCAAAUAUUUUCAUCGGCUUUUUCUUGUUGACUAUUCUGUUUGAUUCUUGUAUGUGGUGACUCAUUAACCGAAGCCACACACAUUCUCGACAUGCUUCGUGAAGCGCAAUAGUCUUUGCAUGAUUCGAAGAUGUCGCAACCAGAUUUUGUUUCUGGGACCGCCAAGAGAUCGCGGUUCCACCAAUUGUAAAACCAUAUCUGGUUUACGUUCGACUUUAUAAAUAGCACGUAUCUGCAAAACCAUACCAAACUCGGGGUUUCUAGGUAAACCAAUUAUGAAUCAAUACGUACCUUGGAGAGAACUAACAUGUUCUCGACGCCAUUCUAAUUUCCAUAAAUAUGAAGUGAGCUGUAUCUUGCAAAGACAUUAGUGUCUAAAACUAUAUUUCGUCAAAUACAACUUGCAAGACAUAUAAGCUCACAAAUGCUUUAUUACCAUUAUCAUCUCCAAAGUACUUAUUUAUAUAAGAUCUUACCUGGAUCUUUUAAAAUAACAUCUCUUUCAACAUCGAGAGAUCUAUUUACCAUUGGAGUACUCAAAGGAGUCGUUUUAUUCAUACAAAAGCGUUUCAAUAACCUUUUCGUAUGAUUCGAUUGAUGCACAAUUAUUCUUUCUCGGAGAUGCUCUAUCGGGAGCCCAAGACAAAACUUUGUCUUGCCGAGAUCUUUCACUUCGAACUCCUCUUUCAUAUGAGUUCGAGCAUCAUCAACCUCCUUUUGAGUUCCAAUUAUGUUCAGGUCAUUUACAUAUACAGCAAUGAUCACCAAGCCAGAUGACAAUUUCUUUAUAGAAACGCAUUGACAUAUCGCAUUAUUAGCAUAUCCCUUUUCAAGAUAUAUUCACUUAAGCGAUUGUACCACAUGCAUCCGGAUUUCUAUAAUCCGUAAAGUGAUCGCUGUAACUUGACCGAACAAAUCUCCCUGGAUUUUUCUUUCAAUGCCCCUGGGAUUUUCAAUCCCUCGGGGAGUUUCAUAUAUAUAUCGUUAUCCAACGAUCCAUACAAAUAUGAAGUCAUAACGUCCAUGAGAUGCAUCUUAAGAUUUUUAGACGCCGUUAGGCUCAUUAAAAAUCUAAACAUAAUUGCAUCUAUUACCGGGGAAUACGUUUUCUCAAAAUCAAUUCCCGGUCUUUGAGAAAAUCUUUGGGCAACUAAUCAGGUUUUAUAUUGUGUUACUUUUCUCACGAAUACCCACUUAUACCCAACAUGAUUUAUAUUCUCAGGCGUUAUGACUAUAGGUCCAAAGACAUUCCUUUUAUUUAGGGAGAAUAAUUCAAUUUGAAUGGCCUUCUCCCACUACUCCCAAUCAUGUCUUUUUAACAAAUGGACAUUGGAUCGAGAUCAUCACUUUUAUGAUCGAUCUCUUUGGACACAGAAAAGGAGAACAUUUCAUCAACAUCUUUUAUCUUAUAACUUUUUAUCAAGGGUGUAGUUGAUGGAAAUCUCAUACUUUUAUGUUCCCUUUUCGUCAUCUGGAUCAGCUUUAUUUGGUUCAUCUUGAACCUUUUCAUUUAUGCCUUCUUUCAGACAUUUUUCAGUAUCAUGUUCUUGUAGAACCUUUCCACUUAUGCCUUCUUUCAGACAUCUUAUAAUAUCAGGUUCUUCUGAAACCUUACCAUUUAUGUCUUCUUUCAGACAUCUUUUAGCAUCAGGUUCUCUUUGAACCUUCUGCUUUGCUCAACAAAUUUCUUUUUCUUUCGGGGAUUUUUAUCUUUAGAACCCGCUAGUCUCCCCCUCUUUAACUGAACCCUAGGUUCAUUCAUUUUGUUACCAUCAGUUUGUUCUUUAGGAACAUCAACUCUGGAUGGAAUAUUUUCUGCGGGUAUAUCAUGUCGUAUCUGUGAACACACUUAGUAACUGGUUUGCCAAAUUAUGCAAAUGCAUAAUUUCCUGAAUUUCCAGCCCUCCUAGAUUCGUAGGGGACCAAAGUGUAACAACAACUGUGUACACCAUGUAAUCUCUUUAGGAAUUUCUCAAAUUCCUCCCCCUAACGCUGGAAAUUCAUCCUCCGGCAAAUCGUGCCGUAAACAUAUCACCAUUUACUGGUUCAAGAUACCUUAUAUACGGCUUGUUCUAACUCUUUCAGAGUUUUAUAUAUUCCCGAGAGCAUCUUUAACUCUCCAGAGACUACUAAAUAUCAAGAUGCAACUCAAGUCAUUUUUGUCCUGCCAGACAUUUCAAUAUAUUGCAUCUAUUUUAAAUUUUCUCCAGUGACCUCGGAACAAGCCGUUUUUUCAUACCUCAAUGUCAUCUUUCAUUUCAUUCUCUGGAGAACUAUACCUUGGACUUUUGGUCCAAAAAUCUCUCGUUUUUCUAACGAGCUUUAUAUCGAAUUGAUGGCCAAUCAAUUCACUAUACCCUCAUACAUAGAGGUAGAUUCAUAAUCCUUAUUUAUAUAGCGCUUUUUCAUUUUAUUGUCGACAAUCUAUUUUCUCUUUUGUUCCAUCUUGUUAUCCGUACUAAUAUAGUUAAUCGAGAUCUCUUUAUCAUCAUCGACGAUUUACCCAGGUACCUGACUAUUAUAUUAACCAUAUCAACGGUCUCAUCAUGAGAUUCAUCCUCUAUUUAUAUUUUUUCUCCUUUUCGAGGACUCUUUGGAACCAAAGUGGUCUAUCACGUCUCUAGCGUGCCAUAGACUCAUAUAUCGUCCGUUCAGGACACUAUUUUUUUAUUGGAGCAUUUUCAGCUGGAAUAUGAGAUAUCAUUAUUUCAUCAAAAUGUCUGGCAGGCAUUUUGUAAAUGGAUUAUUCUACUUUUCAUUGUAAUCCAUUUCACAUAUCUCAUUCCAUCAGCUUAUCAUAUGCUUCUAGCAAACUUGCGAGCAUAUUUCUAAGUAUCAAUAUACUUUAUCCCUCUGGAUUGUAUAUGUCUUUAUUACAUGCACAACUGCAUGUUUACACCCGAUCAUGGGGAUCAUCUUACUUGAAUUUACUUUAUCAAGUUCUUUUUCAAGUGCGAACAUAAUUUCUCAAUGUUUCACUCACUAGGAUUCUUUAAUUCUCCCCCUCGAGAUGAUGACACUCCAUGUCUAAAAUCUCGUACUGAAUCCCACUCUAGAAUCAAUAACAUAUUCAGUUUUCCCAUUUGGGAUGAAUUAUGUUUCAAAUCCUUUAGAGUGAGAUCUUAAUUUGGGGUCUGUUUAAAGAAAUCACAUAUUAUGAACUUGUUUGAUGAUUCAUCACCAUGAUGGUUUUCUUUAUUUUCUUGACAUGCUAUAUGUGAAAAAAAUUCUGGUUUUUCAAUAUUUCACAAUAAUGUCGAUAACAUUAUUGGAGAUGGCUAUAUAUCAGUAAACUCUAAGUUUACCACUCAUUUAUAAUUUUGCCAUCUUUUUCUUAUGCAUGUCUUUUCAUCAUAAGCUCCUCUAGAGCCAAUAGUAAUUUUUAUAUUACUAGAUACUAUACUUAUUUAUUUUGAGAGAAAAGAAAUAUUUGUUACCUUUAUUAGUCAUGUACGAUGAUCCAAUAUCUGCCAAGUAUUUCUAUCUCCAUCCUGAAUCUCAAAAUUUUCAUCAGGAAGAUAAUCAUUAUAUCACCGAUACUCUCUGGUUCACCCAGAAAGUCUAUCACAUCAAGAUGAGUAUUCAAGCUAUGAAAGAUGGUUCGGGUUCAUAAGAGACGAAGUUUAAUAUACUUCCUUUCUCUCUUUCUUUUUGAUUCUCAAUAUAGAUCAGCUAAAUAUUUGACGUACGACAACUACGUACCCAAUUUUCUUUCUAGCCGUAUCUACAGCAAACCUUUUAUGUUUGCCUUUUAUCACCCGACCAUUUUUAUUUUCGUGGAAGUUCUAAUUAUUUCGCAUGGACGGAAUAUUCUUCCUCGUCCACUUCCACGACCACGAUAGGGGGUUUCAACCGCAUCUACACCUUCGUCCUUUUCUAAUAGGACUGACUUGAUGGUUUAGUAUCAUGAUUUCGUUUUCCUUUUUUUUUUCAGUUUUCAAGGAGGAUUUUCAUCAACUCCAACUAUUUAUUGAAUCCUUUCUUUCAAGGAUUUAAUUAUUCAAAGAUCUUUUAGAUCUUUUCUCAUGAUACACCUUAUCCUAUAAACCAUCAUUGAAGUGGUGUAAAUUAUCAUGGCUUUAUUCUUUUCUCAUCCGAUAUUGUUUCAAUUUAUCGAUGAUUUCUGAAAGCUCAUUUUCUCUCAGAUGCAUAUUUGCACCCACUGCCCAAGUCUUAUAAUUAUUUCUCGUAAUAUCAAGGGCAUCUAUUUUGAACUUUGUCAAAUUUGACAUGAUAACCGUAUUCAUAUAAUAAUAAUAUAAUAAAGACGAGAAUUUAAACGCAGAAAUUAAAGGCAUAAAAUAAAUGCAUAAAUUAAAUUGCAUAAAUUUAAAUAGCAUAAAUAAAAUCGGGAGGCUCAGCCUACCACAUGAUCCGAGGAGUCAUAGACUACCAUAUUGAUCAUUUUUCAAAGUCCGAGGAGACAUGGUCUACCAUUUUGACUUUUACUUUUUUCAAGGUCCGAGGAGACUUAGUCUACCAUUUUUGACCUUUUCUUUUUAUUUACGGAGGCAAAGCCUUCCACGUAAUUUUCUUUUUUCAAUUCACGGAGGCAAAGCCUACCACGUGUUUCUCUGAUCGUGAAGGCAUAGCCUACCAUAACGAUCAGUCGGGAAAGGCAACACCUAUCAUCCCGGAAAAUAAACGGAGAAGGCCUAGCCUCUCACUCCGGAACAAUAA